GCCUGAUAUGGUUGAUUUGAAAAAGCUAAGAAAGAUCCAACCUGGUUCGUAUUUGUAUGGGAGACCAGUUCAAAACCCCAGGUUAUACUGGCA
rnacentral:rRNA from 1 species